rnacentral:rRNA from 1 species
GACGAACGCUGGCGGCGUGCUUAACACAUGCAAGUCGAACGGAAAGGCCCUGCUUUUGUGGGGUGCUCGAGUGGCGAACUGGUGAGUAACACGUGAGUAACCUGCCCUUGACUUUGGGAUAACUUCAUGAAACUGGGUCUAAUACCGGAUAGGAGCUCCUGCUGCAUGGUGGGGGUUGGAAAGUUUCGGCGGUUGGGGAUGGACUCGCGGCUUAUCAGCUUGUUGGUGGGGUAGUGGCUUACCAAGGCUUUGACGGGUAGCCGGCCUGAGAGGGUGACCGGCCACACUGGGACUGAGAUACGGCCCAGACUCCUACGGGAGGCAGCAGUGGAGAAUAUUGCACAAUGGGCGGAAGCCUGAUGCAGCAACGCCGCGUGCGGGAAGACGGCCUUCGGGUUGUAAACCGCUUUCGCCUGUGACGAAGCGUGAGUGACGGUAAUGGGUAAAGAAGCACCGGCUAACUACGUG